rnacentral:rRNA from 1 species
AUACGUAGGAUCCGAGCGUUGUCCGGAUUUACUGGGCGUAAAGGGUGCGUAGGCGGCGUGGUAAGUCUCAUGUGAAAUCUCCCGGCUUAACUGGGAGGGGUCAUGGGAUACUGCCAUGCUCGAGGGCAGUAGAGGAGAGCGGAAUUCCGGGAGUAGCGGUGAUAUGCGUAGAUACCCGGAGGAACACCCGUGGCGAAAGCGGCUCUCUGGGCUGUACCUGACGCUAAGGCACGAAAGCGUGGGGAGCAAACCGGAUUAGAAACCCCGGUAGUCC